rnacentral:lncRNA from 1 species
UUCUUCCCAGCUCGCGUGUAAAAAAAGUUUCAAAAAAGUUUCUCGUUAGGGUUUACUCAGUUGUUUUUGAGCUCUGAUCCUUGCUAUUGAUCUUGAGGUAUGCUAUUGACUCUGAUGUUUUUCAUCUUUCUCUCUCUAUCUCUUCUUUGAGCUCUAAUCCUUCCUAUUGAGCCCUGAUCCGUGUUCUUCAUCUUUCUCGAGGUAUUUGCCCCUGACUGCCCCAACCACAUCGAAUAGUAUUGAUGUGCUUUAUAUAAUAAAAUCAGAGUGAAUAGCAUACCUUUUAUUUAUGAUUUUAUAGAUUUUUCGCAACAGCCCAAUAGAUCAGAGCUCAGUUUCAAAUUGAUUAUCCAAACAGUUGGUAAUAAAAUGUGAGUCCC